GACGAACCGUACGAACGUUAUUCGGAAUCACUGGGCUUAAAGGGUGCGUAGGCGGUGCAGAAAGUAGGGUGUGAAAUCCCUCGGCUCAACCGAGGAACUGCGCUCUAAACUACUGUGCUAGAGGGAGAUAGAGGUGAGCGGAACUUAGGGUGGAGCGGUGAAAUGCGUUGAUAUCCUAAGGAACACCGGUGGCGAAAGCGGCUCACUGGAUCUCUUCUGACGCUGAGGCACGAAAGCUAGGGUAGCAAACGGG
rnacentral:rRNA from 1 species